GAUGAACGCUGGCGGCGUGCCUAAUACAUGCAAGUCGAGCGAACAGAUCAGGAGCUUGCUCCUCUGACGUUAGCGGCGGACGGGUGAGUAACACGUGGAUAACCUACCUAUAAGACUGGGACAACUUCGGGAAACCGGAGCUAAUACCGGAUAAUAUAUUGAACCGCAUGGUUCAAUAGUGAAAGACGGUUUUGCUGUCACUUAUAGAUGGAUCCGCGCCGCAUUAGCUAGUUGGUAAGGUAACGGCUUACCAAGGCAACGAUGCGUAGCCGAGCUGAGAGGGUGAACGGCCACACUGGGACUGAGCCACGGUCCAGACUCCUACGGGAGGCAGCAGUAGGGAAUCUUCCGCAAUGGGCGGAAGCUUGACGGAGCAACGCCGCGUGAGUGAUGAAGGUCUUCGGAUCGUAAAACUCUGUUAUUAGGGAAGAACAAAUGUGUAAGUAACUAUGCACUUCUUGACGGUACCUAAUCAGAAAGCCACGGCUAACUACGUG
rnacentral:rRNA from 1 species